rnacentral:rRNA from 1 species
GAUGAACGCUGGCGGCGUGCCUAAUACAUGCAAGUCGAGCGAACAGAUGAGGAGCUUGCUCCUCUGUCGUUAGCGGCGGCCGGGUGAGUAACAAGUGGCUAACCUACCUAUACGACUGGGAUAACUUCGAGAAACCGGCGCUAAUACCGGAUAAUACAUUGAACCGCAUGGUUCAAUAAUGAAAGCCGGUUCUGCUGUCACUUAUAGUUGGACCAGCGCCGCAUUAGCUAGUUGGUAAGGUAACGGCUUACCAACGCAACGAUGCGUAGCCGACCUGAGAGGGUGAUCGGCCACACUGGAACUGAGACACGGUCCAGACUCCUACGGGAGGCAGCAGUAGGGAAUCUUGCGCAAUGGGCGAAAGCCUGACGGAGCAACGCCGAGUGAGUGAUGAAGGGCUUCGGAUCGUAAAACUCUGUUAUUAGGGAAGAACAAAUGUGUAAGUAACUAUGCACGUCUUGACGGUACCUAAGCAGAAGGCCAGGGCUAACUUCGUG